rnacentral:rRNA from 1 species
UACAGAGGUCUCAAGCGUUGUUCGGAUUCAUUGGGCGUAAAGGGUGCGUAGGCGGCGCGGUAAGUCGGGUGUGAAAUCUUGGAGCUUAACUCCGAAACUGCAUUCGAUACUGCCGUGCUUGAGGACUGGAGAGGAGACGUGGAAUUUACGGUGUAGCGGUGAAAUGCGCAGAUAUCAGGAGGAACACCGGUGGCGAAGGCGGGUCUCUGGGGCAACAACUGACGUGAGGAGCGAAAGCGUGGGGGAGCGAACAGG